GGGAGAGUGGGCGCCAUCUUCUCCGGGCUCACUGAGGGUUCUACCUGUUCUGUGGAGGCUGCAGCGAGGAGGAGUGCCCCAGCCCCCGGCUUUGUGUGUCCGACUCGGCAGCAGUGGUGUGUGUUUACUGCCAAGUGCGAAGCAGUCUCCCGUGGGGCGUCGGGGUGGGCAGGGUUGGCGACCGAGCCGGAGGAGCGGGGAAAGGCGGGGCCGGCGGCCGCGCCAGGAUCUAGCGUAGCUGGUGCCGUUAGGGCACCCUCUCUUCUCGCUAAACACCGACUCUCCCUCUCCCGUCAGCCUCCAUGUGGCGGUGCGUGUGCGCUUCCCAGUGAUCUUGACACUGAAGAUCGCGAAGGAUCUCAUAGUUAAGUUGCUUUUACAGAAUUAACAGGUCUCCAAGAAAUAAGAACAGGUCAUUAU
ensembl:lncRNA